rnacentral:lncRNA from 1 species
CAUCACCUUCACCGACCAUCAACCUGAAAGCUUCACUAAACAAAGGAAUUUGAGUUGGUUUUAGACCUUGUUGAUGCGAUCAUUUUUCGUCCAGUGCCAGGCGACUCAAGCCAGGUGAUGCAGAACCCACCCAGCUCCACUGCCAGCUUGCACUGCCCUUUCGUGUGUUUUUGGAAUGGGCGCAUGUGAUGGUGGUGCUGCUGCGUCAAGUUUUGCCAGCAAAUGACCUUCUGCAAGUGUCGCUGACAGAAUGUUCUUCCUGCUUUUUUUAUCUAUAUUGCAAUAAAUAGCUUUUGAGCAAGAUCUUUAUUUU